UAGGAUAUAUUAUAAAUUGGAGUAUAUUUUAUUUACAAUAAAAAGGUAACAUCCU
rnacentral:tRNA from 1 species